rnacentral:rRNA from 1 species
UACGGAGGGUGCGAGCGUUGUUCGGAAUCACUGGGCGUAAAGCGCGUGUAGGCGGCCCAUUAAGUCUGAUGUGAAAGCCCGGGGCUCACCCCCGGAAGUGCAUUGGAAACUGAUGGGCUCGAGUCCCGGAGAGGAGGGUGGAAUUCCUGGUGUAGCGGUGAAAUGCGUAGAGAUCGGGAGGAAGGCCGGUGGCGAAGGCGGCGCUCUGGAACAUUUCUGACGCUGAGGCUCGAAAGCGUGGGGAGCAAACAGG